UACGUAGGGACCAAGCGUUGUUCGGAUUUACUGGGCGUAAAGGGCGCGUAGGUGGUGAGGUAAGUCGGAUGUGAAAUCUCCGGGCUCAACCCGGAAAUGGCAUUGGAAACUACCUUGCUGGAGGAUUUGAGGGGGGAUUGGAAUACUUGGUGUAGCAGUGAAAUGCGUAGAUAUCAAGUGGAACACCAGUGGCGAAGGCGAAUCCCUGGAAAAUACCUGACACUGAGGCACGAAAGCUAGGGGAGCAAACAGG
rnacentral:rRNA from 1 species